rnacentral:rRNA from 1 species
UACGAGGGGGGCAAGCGUUGUUCGGAAUUAUUGGGCGUAAAGAGCUCGUAGGCGGUUUGUCGCGUCGAAUGUGAAAACCCGGGGCUCAACCCCGGGCCUGCAUUCGAUACGGGCAGACUAGAGUUCGGUAGGGGAGUCUGGAAUUCCUGGUGUAGCGGUGAAAUGCGCAGAUAUCAGGAGGAACACCGGUGGCGAAGGCGGGACUCUGGGCCGAUACUGACGCUGAGGAGCGAAAGCGUGGGGAGCGAACAGG